rnacentral:rRNA from 1 species
UAGAGUUUGAUCCUGGCUCAGAUUGANCGCUGGCGGCAGGCUUAACACAUGCAAAGUCGAGCGGAGAUGAGGUGCUUGCACCUUAUCUUAGCGGCGGACGGGUGAGUAAUGCUUAGGAAUCUGCCUAUUAGUGGGGGGACAACAUUCCGAAAGGGAUGCUAAUACCGCAUACGUCCUACGGGAGAAAGCAGGGGAUCUUCGGACCUUGCGCUAAUAGAUGAGCCUAAGUCGGAUUAGCUAGUUGGUGGGGUAAAGGCCUACCAAGGCGACGAUCUGUAGCGGGUCUGAGAGGAUGAUCCGCCACACUGGGACUGAGACACGGCCCAGACUCCUACGGGAGGCAGCAGUGGGGAAUAUUGGACAUUGGGGGGAACCCUGAUCCAGCCAUGCCGCGUGUGUGAAGAAGGCCUUAUGGUUGUAAAGCACUUUAAGCGAGGAGGAGGCUACUGAGACUAAUACUCUUGGAUAGUGGACGUUACUCGCAGAAUAAGCACCGGCUAACUCUGUGCCAGCAGCCGCGGUAAUACAGAGGGUGCGAGCGUUAAUCGGAUUUACUGGGCGUAAAGCGUGCGUAGGCGGCUUUUUAAGUCGGAUGUGAAAUCCCCGAGCUUAACUUGGGAAUUGCAUUCGAUACUGGGAAGCUAGAGUAUGGGAGAGGAUGGUAGAAUUCCCAGGGGUAGCGGUGAAAAUGCGUAGAGAUCUGGAGGAAUACCGAUGGCGAAGGCAGCCAUCUGGCCUAAUACUGACGCUGAGGUACGAAGCGCUUGGGGAGCAAACAGGAUUA